AUCAGAGGCACCGAGGUCGGCCAGAAUGUGCUUGAGAAGAGCCAGCAGAGACUCAUCACGAAGGUCUAUGCUGAGGAGAUGGUGUUUGAGCCAAUCUCUUGAUAAUGCCAUGCUUGUGAUCCAAGCAGCAGGAUCCUGAUGGUCCCUAAAGGAGAGAUGAUAGAAGGUAUCCUGAAUGUCGGCGACUUCAAAUUUGCAAAGGCCAAAGCCUGUUAGGUCGGGCCUCCUGUUGGGUAAUGUGAUAGACUCUUAUCCCAUAGUUUUUUAAUUAUUUGUGUGAAUGUUUUUCUUUUUUACAGGACUAGAAACAAUUUAAAAAUGAGGACAAAUUCUGAUGGCCCACAGCAUAUUAUAGGGAAUAAUAGCAGGAAUAGCUACCAUGUAUCGAGUAAAUGAGCCUAUUCUGUUUAGUGCUUUACAUAGCUGAUUCUAGUUAAGCCUGACAAAAACCUUUGAGGCAGUAUUGUUCCCCCCACUACCCCCCCUUUUUUUUGACAGUUGAGAAAAAGAGAAACUGGGAAAGUUUAAGUAAUUUGCUCACAGCUACAUAGUUCUGUAUGCUAUUGAACAAGAAUUUGGUGACCUGUGCUUUGUGCUAAGCACUGAGAUCCAAAUGGUGAGCACAGCAAAUGUGGACACUCCCCACAUGUAGCUUAUAGUCCAUGGCAGAAGACAGACAUUAACCAAUAAUAACCAUAUAGCAAUGUAUAAUUACAACCUGUAAUAAAGUCUCUGCAGGGAAAAACA
rnacentral:lncRNA from 1 species